AGUGAACGCUGGCGGUAGGCCUAACACAUGCAAGUCGAACGGCAGCACAGUAAGAGCUUGCUCUUACGGGUGGCGAGUGGCGGACGGGUGAGGAAUACAUCGGAAUCUACUUUUUCGGGGGGGAUAACGUAGGGAAACUUACGCUAAUACCGCAUACGACCUACGGGUGAAAGCAGGGGAUCUUCGGACCUUGCGCGUUUGAAUGAGCCGAUGUCGGAUUAGCUAGUUGGCGGGGUAAAGGCCCACCAAGGCGACGAUCCGUAGCUGGUCUGAGAGGAUGAUCAGCCACACUGGAACUGAGACACGGUCCAGACUCCUACGGGAGGCAGCAGUGGGGAAUAUUGGACAAUGGGCGCAAGCCUGAUCCAGCCAUACCGCGUGGGUGAAGAAGGCCUUCGGGUUGUAAAGCCCUUUUGUUGGGAAAGAAAAGCAGCAGGUUAAUACCCCGCUGUUCUGACGGUACCCAAAGAAUAAGCACCGGCUAACUUCGUG
rnacentral:rRNA from 1 species